rnacentral:tRNA from 1 species
CAGGGAGACAACAAAAUGUUUAAUAUUAUUAUUUUGUCACCUUAGGUCGAUCGGUAUCUCACGUUCUUAAUUUAUUAAGAAUUUCAUUUCCUAAGUUUUUCUAGGUCACACCCAUUAUUUUUCCUGGGCCAUUAGCUCAGGUGGUUAGAGCGCACCCCUGAUAAGGGUGAGGUCCCUGGUUCAAGUCCAGGAUGGCCCAUAUCUCUAUGUUGGGGGUAUAGCUCAGUUGGUAGAGCGCCUGCUUUGCAAGCAGGAUGUCAGCGGUUCGAGUCCGCUUACCUCCACUGAUUACCACCUCUUCCAUAAUUUGAAGAAAGGAAAUCUUUUGAGUUGUGAUCAAAUUCUGAACGAAUCUAGCUUCCUAAUGAAUCCAUUAAGAUGCUGGACUCAUUGAAUUAAUUUUCAUUGUUUUCAGAGAACCUUGACAACUGCAUAGAUUAUUUUUAAAGACAAUAAGCAUCUUUAUUGAUGCAGAUUUAUUAUUUGUGCGAAUGCAUUAAUAACAAUUCUAUUAAGCUGAUGCUUCAAUUUAAUGAAGUUAUU